rnacentral:rRNA from 1 species
AGAGUUUGAUCCUGGCUCAGGACGAACGCUGGCGGCGCGCCUAACACAUGCAAGUCGAACGGAGUUAAGAGGAGCUUGCUUUUCUUAACUUAGUGGCGAACGGGUGAGUAACGCGUGAGUAACCUGCCCUGGAGUGGGGGACAACAGUUGGAAACGACUGCUAAUACCGCAUAAGCCCACGGAACCGCAUGGUUCUGAGGGAAAAGGAUUUAUUCGCUUCAGGAUGGACUCGCGUCCAAUUAGCUAGUUGGUGAGGUAACGGCCCACCAAGGCGACGAUUGGUAGCCGGACUGAGAGGUUGAACGGCCACAUUGGGACUGAGACACGGCCCAGACUCCUACGGGAGGCAGCAGUGGGGGAUAUUGCACAAUGGGGGAAACCCUGAUGCAGCGACGCCGCGUGGAGGAAGAAGGUUUUCGGAUUGUAAACUCCUGUCGUUAGGGACGAUAAUGACGGUACCUAACAAGAAAGCACCGGCUAACUACGUGCCAGCAGCCGCGGUAAAACGUAGGGUGCAAGCGUUGUCCGGAAUUACUGGGUGUAAAGGGAGCGCAGGCGGACCGGCAAGUUGGAAGUGAAAACCAUAGGCUCAACCUAUGGAUUGCUUUCAAAACUGCUGGCCUUGAGUAGUGCAGAGGUAGGUGGAAUUCCCGGUGUAGCGGUGGAAUGCGUAGAUAUCGGGAGGAACACCAGUGGCGAAGGCGACCUACUGGGCACCAACUGACGCUGAGGCUCGAAAGCAUGGGUAGCAAACAGGAUUAGAUACCCUGGUAGUCCAUGCCGUAAACGAUGAUUACUAGGUGUUGGAGGAUUGACCCCUUCAGUGCCGCAGUUAACACAAUAAGUAAUCCACCUGGGGAGUACGACCGCAAGGUUGAAACUCAAAGGAAUUGACGGGGGCCCGCACAAGCGGUGGAGCAUGUGGUUUAA